GUGGCUGUAGUUCAGUUGGUUAGAGCGUCAGAUUGUGGUUCUGAAUGUCGUGGGUUCGAGUCCCAUCUGCCACC
rfam:Bacteroides uniformis CAG:3 genomic scaffold, scf113